CCUACGUGAGGCAGCAGUGAGGAAUAUUGGUCAAUGGGCGGGAGCCUGAACCAGCCAAGCCGCGUGAGGGAAGAAGGUACAGCGUAUCGUAAACCGCUUUUGUCAGGGAACAAAGGCGGGCACUAGUCCCCGGAUGAGGGUACCGGAUGAAAAAGCAUCGGCUAAUUCCGUGCCAGCAGCCGCGGUAAUACGGAGGAUGCGGGCGUUAUCCGGAUUUAUUGGGUUUAAAGGGUGCGAAGGCGGCCUGUUAAGUGUGCGGUAAAAGCCCGUGGCUCAACCCCGGCGAGCCGUUGAAACUGGCGGGCUGGAGUUGGAGAGACGUACGCGGAAUGCGCGGUGUAGCGGUGAAAUGCUUAGAUAUCGCGCAGAACCCCGAUUGCGAAGGCAGCGUACCGGCUCCACACUGACGCUGAGGCACGAAGGCGUGGGUAUCGAACAGGAUUAGAUACCCGGGUAGUC
rnacentral:rRNA from 1 species